rnacentral:rRNA from 1 species
CCUACGGGAGGCAGCAGUGAGGAAUAUUGGUCAAUGGUCGGGAGACUGAACCAGCCAAGCCGCGUGAGGGAGGAAGGUACAGAGUAUCGUAAACCUCUGUUGUCAGGGAACAAAGGCGGGGACGUGUGCCCCGAUGAGUGUACCCGAAGAAAAAGCAUCGGCUAACGCCGUACCAGCAGCCGCGGUAAUACAGGGGAUGCGAGCGUUAUCCGGAUUUGUUGGGUUUACGGGGUGCGCAGGUGGUCUGUUAAGUCAGCGGGCAACGCUCGGAGCUCAACCCCUGCCCGCCGUUGAAACUGGCAGUCUCGAGUUGGAGAGAGGGAUGCGGAAUGCGCGGUGUAGCAGUGAAAUGCAUAGAUAUCGCGCAGAACUCCGAUUGCGAAGGCAG